AAAAUUAACAACACAAGCUAUAGAAGUGAGAAAAAGAAAAGAUGAACUCUAGGGUGUCUAGGGCAAACUAGAAAAGCUUUCAACAAGAAUAAUGCUAUAAUUUUUGGUUCCUGAAAAAAUUCAUCAUAGAAAUAGCCAAGAAGAUAUUCUAAAACCAAUGCCAUAGUAACUAGAAAUUUCCACAAUUAUUCACAAGAGUAAAAUUAUUUUCUAGGCCCUAGAAAAUAUACAUAUCACAUUGAUUACAUAAGGGCCUGCAGUGAACUUUUAAGUAUUUGUAUUGCAUAUUAAAACACAAUUUUAUAACAUACCAAAGCAUAGUCAAUACUACAAGGUUGGCUACAAUAAACAAUACACAUCCACGCUGGGCGCGGUGGCUCAUGCCUGUAACCCUAGCACUUUGGGAGGCCCAGGUGGGUGGAUUGCUAGAGUCCAGGAGUUCAAGAUCAGCCUGGGGAGCAUGGCAAAACCCCGCCUCUACAAAAAAUAUGGAAAUUAGCCAGGUGUGGCAUGUACUUGUAGUCCCAGCUACCAGGGAGGCCGAGGCAGAAGAAUCGCUUGGCUCCAGGAGGUUGAGGCUGCAGUGAGCUGUGGCGGCGCCGCUGCAUUCCAGCCUGGGUGAGAGUGAGACCCUGUUUCAAACAACAACAAACAAAACACAUAGCUCAGGGGCCAGGUUAACACGGGUUCUAGGAAGGCUUCUGCAGGCUCUGAAGACAGCCCUCCCACCGUUCCCUCCCUGUGGACCACCAGGCACUGUUACUGACAGCCAUCAGAGCUCAGAACCAUGCUGCUGCUCCUGCUGCUGCUGCUGCUGCUUGGCUGUUUUCAUCUGGGCCAGUGGAAUGUAAGGGAGAGAUGGCAAUUGAGGUGCAAAAGCUCAUCAAACACGAUCUGUGGAGGCACAGAAUUAAAGUAUGUCGAGAGUGGAAAGGAUCUUUGCUAUGAGCUGCUCCAACCUCUAAGAGCCGCCACCACCACCACCACCACUGACAAGACAGAGCACACGCCCUGUGCCUGGAAUUAUGACAGAGAUGGUUUAAUUUCAUGUAAUUGUCAGAACUGUGUGAGGAGCUGGUCAGCUCUGACCUGGAGUGUGUCUACCCUGACCGUGUGACACCGGGAUCAAGACCCUCUCCUGGGGUCUUGAGGACGCCACAUGUGGGUGAGGCAGCCAUUGAGCAAGGCAGACCCUGCUGAGGGUCUUGUGGUGGGCAUGGCCAUGUGCCACUCAGAUCCCCCUUCAAGGCGGGCCUGGAUGCCGCAGCUGUGGGGAGUGCCUCACCUGCAAGUGCCUCACCCCACCCCAGACCAGGCCAACCUUCACAGACUGAUUGAGGCUGGUACAUAAAGGCCUGGGGUUUCAGCCUAUGUGGGACCAUUCUGAGGGGCUGUUUUAGCCCUAGAGGUCACCGCGGAGUUGGCCGAGGUUGUCCUUGGGCCUAAAUCCCAGCUUGAUUUCUCAGUCCACCCCUGCCUCCUUCUCCUCCCUUCCUCAGGCGUUGCUCUAAAGAGCGCUUGCUCCUAAGCCUCCUGCACAUGGAACUCCACCAUGGAAUCUGCUUCCCAGGAACUCACCCUGGGACCAGCCCCUCUGAGACUCAAGUCAACAUUUGGUCCUAGGGCUGCAAAGAGGAGGUGCUAAGAGGCCAAAGGCUACUUCCACCUGGAGAACGGGCCCCGCGUGCCAGCUCCCCCAAGGCCUGGCCAGGAUGCUCUGCUCGGAGGCCUGUCCUGACUUCCUCUGCUCAUUGCCACCUGAAAUUACCUAACCAACACCUUUCUUCCUCCCACCCUUCCACAAAUACUUAUUGAGCAUCUGCUAGGUGCCAGUUACUGUUCUGCACAAUGGCAAUUACAGCCAUGAAAGAAAUAAAACAGAAACAUUCCUGUUCUCAUGAAGCUUCCAUUCUAGCAGGGGAGCAGACAAAUAUCAAAUCAAUAAUCAAAAUAAUGUCACUUGGUGAUAGUACUGUGGGGAGGAAAAAGCAGGGAGUGGAGAGGGUUAGGGAGCAGGAUGGAGGAGACACAGUGAACAGGAAAGGGCUCACUGAAAAGGUGACUUUCGAGAAAAACCUGAAGGAGGUGAGGGACUGGGUCACAAAGCUAUUUUGGGAAAAAGCCUUCAAACAGCAGGAACAGCAAAUGCAAAGACCCUGAGGCCAGAGCUUGCUGUGUGUGUUCAAGGAAGAGCAAGGCUGCUCCAGUUGCAGUCGAGGGAGUAAGCAGUAAGAAGUGACCUCAGGGACUGUGGGAGGGAUCAUGGGACUGCAGGUUGCGCAGGCCCCCUAGGCCACUGUAGGGACUUUGGCUUGGACUCAGAAUGCGAUGAGUCACCAGAGGGCUCUGAGCACAGGAGAAAUGAACAUUUUAAAGAAUCACUAUAGGCUGGGAGUGGAGGCUCAUGUCUGUAAUCCCACCACUUUGGGAGGCGGAGGUGGGAGGAUCACUUAAGUCCAGGAGUUCAAGACCAGCCUGGGCAAUGUGGUGAAACCCUGUCUCUACCGAAACACAGAAACACAGACACACACACACACACAGACACAGACACAGACACACACACACACACACAGACACAGACACAGACACACACACACACACACACACACACAAAUUAGCUGGGCAUGGUGGUGCACGUCUGUGGUCCCAGCUACUCAAGAGGCUAAGGUGGGAGGAUGGCUUGAGCCCAGGGGACAGAGGCUGCAGUAAGCCAAGAUCACACCACUGCACUCCAGCCUGGUGACAAAGUGAGAUCCUGUCUAAUAAUAAUAAUAAUAAUCAUAAUCAUAAUCAUAAUCAUAAUCAUAAUCAUAAUCACUAUGGCUGCUAUGUGGAGAAUGACCGAAGGGGUAAGGGCAGGAACGGGAGGCCCCUUAGACUGUUCCAGUGAGUCCAGGUGGGAGGUGGUUGUGGCUCGGGUGAGGGCUGGGGUCAGAUUCUGGGGAUAUUUUGAAGGUGGAGCUAAUGGGAUUUGCUGUUGAUCCUUCCAGGGGAGACAGCUGUGUAGCCGGCAGCGUUGUGCACAUGCGUGCAGCCGGCAGCAUUUAUCAAUGAGGCAAACAUCGUGCAGUGGCCUUGGAGCCACACACACCUGGAGCCACACACACCUAGGUCUGGAUCUCAACUCCACGCAUCCUAGUUGCUCAUCUCCAGCAGGCUACGUCUAACUCUCCCAGCCUCCAUUUCUUAUAAACUGGGGAUAACAAUUUUUAUGUUAUGAGAUUACUGUGAAAAUUAAGUGAGAUAAUGUAAAAGAAGGUCUGGCACAAAGUUAAUUAUGAUGAGUUUAAAUAAUGUGGUUUCCUGUGAGUCCUGAAUAUACAGCAGAGAUCAGUCGGGGGAGGGGCGAAUGAGCAAAGGAUCCCUGCAGGGGAGGCUGGGAUCCUGCAGGAGGCACUUGCCAGAGCUGGGGGCAGUCAAGACGACCCAGGAGGGCAGUGGUGGGGAGACGGUGAGAGUCCACGGCCCACUUGCCUUCCCAAGUGAGGAUGGGGAAUUCCAAAGCCCAGGAAGACGCGGGUGGGGCGACCUUUAGAGAAAAGACAGUCAGAAGGGAAUUCCUUGGAUAAAGGCGGAGAUGUGGAAAAUGGGAACGCCACCAAAAUCUAGAGAGGAUGAGGUCAUCCCAGCUGAAGCCAAUCAAAACUUUCCCUGGAGCAGGCAAAAAAAAUAAAUAAAUAAAUGGAAGGGUUUUAGUAGGCCAGAAACUGGAGAUUUCUAGCAGCUGCCAAGAAAGGAAGCGAGCCCUGGGCCCAGAGCCCAUAAGCCCUGGGAGGCCCCACCCUGGCUAGAAAAAGAGACUGGUGGGUGCUGGGGCGCAGCCCAGAAGACAAAAGGGGAGGGGAAGCCAUCUGAGUUGUCUGGGGGUGGUGAUGGGGUGCGCUCCUGGAAAAGCCAUUAGAUCCUCGUCGGAGGCGGCCAGCAGAGCUCUGUGUCCCACUGCUCUGUAGGCAUUUUUCCUUAAGAAAGACAAGAAACAAGAUUAGUAUUCCUUCAAUCAGAACUGUUCUACUCAUUUAUACUUAGGAUGCUUUCCCAAUAAACCAGGGUCUAGCCAGGAGUUUAAACCGAGGGUCUGCCCUUUUUACCUACCUAGAGAGAGUGCUGGGAUUGAAUAAAUGUGGGUUCAAAUCCUGCUUGAUUGUGGGCAGGGGGCUUGACCCCGGAGUGCUGUGACAUGCAGAUCACACUUGAUUGUGGGCAGGGGGCUUGACCCCAGAGUGCUGUGACAUGGAGAUCACACUUGAUUGUGGGCAAGGGGCUUGACCCCUGAAUGCUGUGACAUGGAGAUCGCACUUGAUUGUGGGCAGGGGGCUUGACCCCUGAAUGCUGUGACAUGGAGAUCGCACUUGAUUGUGGGCAGGGGGCUUGACCUCAGAGUGCUGUGACAUGGAGAUCGCACUCACUUGCAUGUGUUUGGGGGUGGCUGGCUUCUCCCCUCCACCCCCAGGGUGUUAGAGAAUUGAAGGAGACAUAACGACCGUGAGAGUGGACACUUGGGCACACAGUCCAUUCUUUCCCGUGUCAGGAAAGUCACAGGCGCUGGCUUCCAGGGGUAGGAGUGGAGGGUCUGGAAUAGUGCCCCUGGUCCCAGGGCAGGAGUGUGACCCUUCUUCAGUGUCCUGCAGUUCAGACUCCCUCCCCCUGUGGUUCCACCAUCUGUUCCCACUUCUCCAAGGUCCCAAAUAAAUGGCAUAGAGCCCUCAGGAGGGGAGGCAUCCUUUUCCCAGACUCCCAGACCCCAUGUGGUCCAGGGUGCUGACGUCGGCCAGAAGCAGCCGUGGCGGAGCUUUUC
rnacentral:lncRNA from 1 species